UACGUAGGGUGCAAGCGUUGUCCGGAAUUAUUGGGCGUAAAGAGCUCGUAGGCGGUCUGUCGCGUCUGCUGUGAAAACUCAGGGCUUAACCCUGAGCUUGCAGUGGGUACGGGCAGACUAGAGUGCGGUAGGGGAGACUGGAAUUCCCGGUGUAGUGGUGAAAUGCGUAGAUAUCGGGAGGAACACCAGUGGCGAAGGCGGCGACCUGGGCAGAUACUGACGCUGAGGUGCGAAAGCGUGGGGAGCAACAGG
rnacentral:rRNA from 1 species